rnacentral:rRNA from 1 species
GAUGAACGCUAGCGGGAGGCCUAAUACAUGCAAGUCGAGCGGUCAGCAAUGAUAGCGGCAGACGGGUGCGUAACGCGUAUGAAACUUGCCCCACACAGGAGGAUAGCCUUGGGAAACUGAGAGUAACCCUCCAUAGUCUUGAGUUGCCGCAUGGUAGCUUAAGUAAAACUUCGGUGGUGUGGGAUAGUCGUGCGUCCGAUUAGGUAGUUGGUAGUGUAAUGGACUACCAAGCCGACGAUCGGUAGCUGGUCUGAGAGGAUGAUCAGCCACACGGGCACUGAGACACGGGCCCGACUCCUACGGGAGGCAGCAGUAAGGAAUAUUGGACAAUGGACGGAAGUCUGAUCCAGCCAUCCCGCGUGGAGGAAUAAGGCCCUAUGGGUUGUAAACUCCUUUAGCAGGGGAAUAAAAGGUACAUUUAUGAUCAAUUGAAGGUACCCUGAG